rnacentral:rRNA from 1 species
GACGAACGCUGGCGGCGUGCUUAACACAUGCAAGUCGAACGGAACGGUCCUGCUUUUGUGGGGUGGUCGGGUGGCGAACGGGUGAGUAACACGUGAGUAACCUGCCCUUGACUUUGGGAUAACUUCAGGAAACUGGGGCUAAUACCGGAUAGGAGCUCCUGCUGCAUGGUGGGGGCUGGAAAGUUUCGGCGGUUGGGGAUGGACUCGCGGCUUAUCAGCUUGUUGGUGGGGUAGUGGCUUACCAAGGCUUUGACGGGUAGCCGGCCUGAGAGGGUGACCGGACACAUUGGAACUGAGCUACGGCCCAGACUACUACGGGAGGCAGCAGUGCAGUAUGUUACACAGUGGACUGAAGCAUGAUGCAGCAACGCCACGUGCGGGAAGACGGGAUUCGGGUUGUAUACCGCUUUCGCCUGUGACGAGGCGUGAGUGACGGUAAUGGGUAAAGAAGCACCGGCUAACUACGUG